rnacentral:lncRNA from 1 species
AGAACCUUUGCUCAGGAUGUUGCCACAGAUCAUUAUUUAUGGUUGCAACUUCAACAACUGAAUAUGGACUAUGCCCUGAUAUUGGUUUGAUCAUCUCCACACAGCAAAUUGGUAAUAUCAGAUUCAUGGAACAUAAGUUACACACCAGCACCCUAACUGCAAGGGCCAGGAGAAUAAAUGGAGAAUGUCUGCCUCUUCUGCUUUCAAAUUUAGGAAAUAUCCUGAGACUUCACAUACUGAGACUUCCCCAAUGUGGAUAAUAGAAAAUAUUAUGUGGGACAGUCAAACAAAGCAAAACAAACCAACUAUCAAAUGAGAAGUAGCAUAUGUCUUCUCACACAUUUAAUAAGAAUGUGAUUUUGUGAAGGACUAUUCUAAUAUUUGUUUCUGUUAAUAGAAGAAUCUUGCCACAGGAUUGAUAUGCAGUGAUCAAUCUUAUUAGGUAAGUGGAUAAACAACUAUUUAACAAUAUUUCUCAUUCUAAAUAAUGAAAUGCUACACAGACCUGCUUUGAAGGGGAGAACUUAUUAAGUUCUCGGUGUUAGGUGGCAUCUUAGGCACAUGUGAUCUAAUCAUUUUUACCUUAUGUGCUUGUUAAGUUGAUUUUAAUUGCUUAAUACCUAAAUAUGUUGCUACUAAAAGAUGUUUUUUUCUCUGUCUUUUCCACUUUUUAUUCAUAUAUACCACUCAUUUCCACAUGCUAUUCUGGGCUUCUAUUUGUCUAUUGUAUUCAUCUUUCUUCCUUUCUCCUCCAAGACACUGGCAGUAAAAUUUUAAAUAGUUCAAGAACAAGAGAACUUCUUCUGCUCUUUACCACCAAAGCAAAAUUUGCAUCUAUACCCAUAAAAUGAAAAUAAUGAUAUCUUCUAUAUAAAGGUAGAGGCUAAUUUCUUAUAAGAGCAGGAUGACUGGUUAUAACAGAUUUUUUUGAAAGGUAAGCUCACCCUUCCUAAAAAGGAAUCACGCCUUUGCCCCAACAGAAACAAGUCCCUUAAAGAGCCAAGAGAUGAUUCUUACUAGGAAUGGGGAAGUAUGGGGGAGGAUAAAACAUGAAAAACAAGCCCUACAGCAGCUUCUUGUUCCUGUUUUUCAGGUUGAGCUGAUUAUGUGUUUAGUUUUGCCUCAGGACAACUAUAUUUCAAAGGAAAUUACAGUCUGCCGUAAAACUCCUCAGAGUAACAGCAAGAAAUUGCAAUCAUUCAUUGAUCGAUGGAGAGCAAAUAUUUACCUUCAGAAAAAAGUCAAAGCUAAAUUAAGAUCUAACUAACUCCAUUCAGAACUUUGGUCUGAAAAAAAUUUACAGCCUACACAUUCAUGACUGGAUUCAUGGAGCACAUUCAAAUAAUGGAGACCUUUUUCUCAGAGACAUUAUUCUCCAAGGACUCUGAUAAACUUCCAGCAGAUUUGUGUUCUUUUGGAGAUGCCUGCUGAAGAGUUUCAUUCUCUGUGGUAGAGGAGGAAAUCCUGCCAAAUUUUGAUAAAGUUCACAAUAAAGAUUUUAG